rnacentral:misc_RNA from 1 species
GAUGAAGAACGCAGCGAAAUGCGAUAAGUAAUGCGAAUUGCAGAAUUCAGUGAAUCAUCGAAUCUUUGAACGCACAUUGCGCCCGGUAGUAUUCUGCCGGGCAUGCCUGUUCGAGCGUCAUUUCAACCAUCAAGCCCCAGCGCUUGUGUUGGGGGCCUGCGGCUGCCGCAGCCCCCCAAAAGCAGUGGCGGGCUCGCUAUCACACCGAGUGCAGUAGUUCAUCUUCUCUCCGGUCUUGUGAGGCGGGUUCCGGCCGUGAAACACCCCACUACAUUCAAGGUUGACCUCGGAUCAGGUAGGAAUACCCGCUGAACUUAAGCAUAUCAAUAAGCGGAGGA